AGUGGCGGACGGGUGAGUAACGCGUGAGAAUCUGCCUUCAGGAGGGGGACAACAGUUGGAAACGGCUGCUAAUACCCCGUAAGUCUACGGAUAAAACGGUUAAUUCCGCCUGAAGAUGAGCUCGCGUCGGAUUAGCUAGUUGGUGGGGUAAAGGCUUACCAAGGCGACGAUCCGUAGCUGGUCUGAGAGGAUGAUCAGCCACACUGGGACUGAGACACGGCCCAGACUCCUACGGGAGGCAGCAGUGGGGAAUUUUCCGCAAUGGGCGAAAGCCUGACGGAGCAACGCCGCGUGCGGGAGGACGGCCUGUGGGUUGUAAACCGCUUUUCUCAGGGAAGAAUAUCUGACGGUACCUGAGGAAUCAGCAUCGGCUAACUCCGUGCCAGCAGCCGCGGUAAUACGGAGGAUGCAAGCGUUAUCCGGAUUUAUUGGGCGUAAAGCGUCCGCAGGCGGCUAAUCAAGUCUGCUGUUAAAGGCCGAGGCUUAACUUCGGUUGAGCAGUGGAAACUGAUUAGCUAGAGUGCGAUAGGGGUAGAGGGAAUUCCCAGUGUAGCGGUGAAAUGCGUAGAUAUUGGGAAGAACACCAGUGGCGAAGGCGCUCUACUGGGUCGCAACUGACGCUGAGGGACGAAAGCUAGGGGAGCGAAAGGGAUUAGAUACCCC
rnacentral:rRNA from 1 species